UCAAGAAACUUCCACAAUGGGCGAAAGCCUGAUGGAGCGACGUCGCGUGAUGGACGAAGUGCUUCGGCACGUAAACAUCUUUUAUGUGGGAUGAAAUUAUUGACAGUACCACAUGAAUAAGGGGCUCCUAACUCUGUGCCAGCAGGAGCGGUAAUACAGAGGCCCUAAGCGUUAUCCGGAAUCACUGGGCGUAAAGGGUGUCGAGGCGGUUGUAUUAGUCGUUCGUAAAAUCUACGAGCUUAACUUGUAGGCGGCGAACGAAACGGUACGACUUGAGGUUUGGAGAGGCGCGUGGAACUCACGGUGUAGGGGUGAAAUCCGUUGAUAUCGUGGGGAACACCAAAGGCGAAGGCAGCGCACUGGCCAAAAUCUGACGCUCACACACGAAAGCUAGGGUAGCGAAGAGGAUUAGAUACCCUAGUAGUCCCUGAGCGGGCUGGCAAGGCGCAU
rnacentral:rRNA from 1 species